UACGUAGGUGGCAAGCGUUGUCCGGAAUUAUUGGGCGUAAAGAGCUCGUAGGCGGUCUGUUGCGUCGGCUGUGAAAACCCGGGGCUCAACCCCGGGCCUGCAGCCGAUACGGGCAGACUAGAGUUCGGCAGGGGAGACUGGAAUUCCUGGUGUAGCGGUGAAAUGCGCAGAUAUCAGGAGGAACACCGAUGGCGAAGGCAGGUCUCUGGGCCACUACUGACGCUGAGAAGCGAAAGCGUGGGGAGCGAACAGG
rnacentral:rRNA from 1 species